rnacentral:lncRNA from 1 species
UGACCAGGAGUGCUUUAUAUCUCAUGUCUUUCAUGAGGCUGACCGAGCUGCUGAUUACAUAGCUAAUUGUGCCCUUAUGGGAGAUGUAUUCUGGUCAUAGGGGAACGUCUUUGAUCUAUCUUUUGCAGGUUUUUUGAUGAACGAUUGCAGAGGGACAACAUUCAUGCAGAGGAAAUGAUCACCGGCUGCCUGAUGAAUGAUAUAAGCAUUAUGCUGCUUCUAGUAGGUUGUUACAACUGUGCCAUUGGAAUUUUUGCUGUCUUAUUUGUGCUCCUUAAGGCUCUGAAAUGCUGGUUAUGUUUGGUGGCCAGAGUGAUUACUUUUUAUUCUGAUAUUUUUGGAAUCUAAAUUAAAUGAGUUGUUAGUACCAGGAUACUUCUAUGAUCUGCUCUCUCUAUAUGCAAUAGCAGGUUCCAAGAAUAUGGAAAAGGACAUCUUCUAUGGUGGGGCAGUAGCCUUCAAUACCAACAUAAGUUAUGGUCUUUAGUGCUUCUUGGUUUUUUAUCCAUAUGGCGAGCCAUAAUGAUGCUAGCGUUUUUGCAUUUGGUGCAGCCCACUUUAUAUUUUUCCUGCUGACUUGCCAUGGGUCUUCUUAUACAGUAGUGGUUAGUCAUGUUUAGUCUAUGCAGGGGAUUAUCAGCCAUAUAUUCAAACCUUACCAUCUGAUGAUGUAUUUCUCGUUGUAUCUUUCCUGUAGCUUGGCUACAUAUGGAUUUGAUAUUCUGCAGUCCAGGGGAUUCCUAUCAGAUGCGACUAUCAGCGGAGAGCUCUCGGUGUGAAGUUUCAGCAUCCUAACAUUCAUAUGACUUGUGUUAGCCGGACAGAAUAUCUACACCACUUUCUAGUUCUGAAGCUUUACUUUUGGAAUGGUACUUCUGUUGGGGUUUCAAAGUUGUGUGCAUAUGUUUGGAUGUUAGUUUACUAGUAAGUACGAUGUACCUACAAACUUGGUUAUUUUUCUGUUUUAGUCCAGCAUUGAGCUCCUCUUUCUACCAAAUAAAAGGUAGAAACCAUAGCGAACCUCGUUCGAGUUAACCCUGGUUCACUCUGGCCCAACCCAAAGCGUGGUUCUAAAAUUACUGUAUUUACUGAUUUUUAUCUAUAUCUGUAUCGAUGAUGAACGAAAACUAAGACUUGGUCCUUCUUCAAGACUCAUGGGCCGGAUGUGAGAUUCAUGUUUAUUACUGAACGAGAAAAUUGUGAUGAAAUAUAUAAAAAGUCUGAACAAAGAGCAAUACCCUAAAAUAACAUGGAGCAUAUAUAAAUUGCAAUAUUUUUUAUUUUUCUCAAUGAAAGAAGAAACUGCAAUUCAAUGUUACCCUCCCCUGGGAUACAAAGAAAGAAAAUCAAAAUAAGGCAAAAUUGACAUCGAUGCCUCGUUGCGAUCCAACUCAACAUCAAUAUCUACAAAAACAUGCACGUCUCUCUCUUAGCAUAAAAGAUUGCAAGCAAAAGAAACCGAUCAAAAAUAUUCCAUAACUCAAUCAUCAAUAUUCUUCUACCAACCAACUCGAGAUAAAGUCUUUACAAAACAUAUCACCGGUUUCUUUCAUACAUAGAAAGCAAUAGAAAUACUUCAAAAUUUGGAGCGGCACACAGGGCAUGCGUCCUUGAGCCACCCUCCGAUGCACCGUCGAUGGAAGACAUGGAAGCAUGGGGUGCACAUGAGCUGCUGCUCGAUGCAGUCCGGAAAGAAGAAGUCCUCGAGGCACACGGGGCAUGAUGAUGGAAACUCUCGCUCGUUGCCGCAGAUGUCUUCCUCAAAGCCUCGCAAGGACGAAGGACGAGCAACACCGAUGGAUUUGUUGACGACUUCUGCAGCGACUCGGGCCUCGUUAUACUCCCAGAUAGCCACUAUCUUGAAAUCGAAGACCAGCUCCAACCCAUCGAUCGGCUUCUUGCCCGCCUCAGCGGCAGCACCAUGGGCGAAGCGGGAGAGGUAGCGGGCCAAGAGCUGGUGCUUCUUGGAAGGAAAGAUCAUGCAGUCAAGCAUCUUGUGGAUGGCCUCCUCUGUGGUUUCUGGGACAAAGAAGGUGACGAUGUCGAAAACCCGGGCUUCGGUUCGGGGAGGAAGGCCCGUAGAGACCGGCUCUACGGUGAUGACUCCGUCGAGCGAGCGCACGCGGCGACUGAUCUUGUGAUCCUUAAUGUUAAUCGUCACCUUGACUUCAGGAAGAGGUCGGCUGAUCUUUCCUACGUAGGAAAGGGCGGGAGGCUCAGGUCGUGAUCUAGGUGUGGUUUUCUGUGAGAGAGAUAUGGUGUAGUCGCUGGUCUUGUACCUGAGACGCUUGAGGGGAGAGCACGAAGCCAUGGGUGGUGGAGUCUGGAAAAACUGGACGCAGGAAAACUGGAAAAGUGGGGAAUUUAUUUAUUUCCUGGUGGGUUACGCUGGCCUUUAGAUAAAGGCUAAGGUCCAAGAAAAAGAUCGGAGUUGUACCAAGAAACGAGAAAAAGAUCGGAGAAGAUUACGGCGUAUAUAUCUGUUAAAUUUAUAAUCUAGUUGUUGCUAAACCAGUUAAAAAAGGAAGAGGGUGAAUCCUUGUUUGGGUCGGACUAGGAUUUGAAUCCGAGCACAAAAGGACAGUCCCGUGUGCAACCCGGCCGCUGAUGUGGCGUGCUACGCGCCGAGGACCAUUUGGACUCCGAGAAACUCUAGAAGGAGCGGGUACGCGGAGCUGCACCCAAGCUCUCACCCUCUCGUUUCGACGGCCACUUUCAUCGAGAUAUUUUUUAGGUUUUUUAUUUCUUGGGUAAGAAGAUAUUUAUUUAGUUAAUUCAAAAGGGAAAAUUUUUUAGGUAACCCAGAGUGUACCCAAGCGCCUAAUCAGGCUAGGUUUCCAUCUUUCUGUUUUGUGGAAAACCUUAAAGGCAAAGUGGGCAUUGAAGCCCAUAAUGAGCCAUCUAUUCCCAAUUGCUACAAUUGUAGUUUAGUAAAUUUUUUAUUUGUCUAACAAGCAUCUAAUUUUGUUUCCUUGUUUUUAUAUAUAGAUAAUUCAGAAAAAUAAAAACGUAUUUGAUACAAAAAAAAAUAUCAUAGAUAGAAUCUGCAAGAAAUAUUUAUAGAUUCCAAAACUAGCAUGUUUUAUGUAUUAGAAAUAUUCUUUUACAAUGCAAGUAAACUAAGAAGUCUCUUUCUGUAUCAAAAAAAAAAAAAAACAUGAAGAUGUCUCUUUUAAGCUUCACUGGCUAUUUGUGUGAGAUUUUGCAUGCCCCUAUCUUAAAAUAUAUAUGAUUGAACCAAAGGUAAUACUUUAUAUCAUCGAAUUAAUAUCAUUUUUCUUCUUCUCAAAAAAAUCAUAAUUCAAUAUCAAUAUUAUCUAUGAAACAUAUCUUAUUGUGGCCACCAUACAUGACCACAAGCCUGAAUGAAUAAAUAAAUAAUUACAAAAUAAUGCAAAACUAACAACAAUCCUUUUUGACUAUCCAACUCAACAUCCAUAUUUAAUAAAAUAUGUUACUUUGUUAGUAUACAUUGUUACAUUCAGAAGAAACCGAUCAGAAACAUUCUAUAACCAUUAGUAAUUUUUACACAACAUAUUUGGUUUCUCUCAUACAAAGAGAGAAACAUAAGUAUUUCAAAAUUUGGAGCAGCACACAGAAAACUGUCCUUCGGGCAUCCUUUGAUAGUCUCUUUUCUCUUCUUUAAUUUUCUUUUGAAAAUUGUCUCUUUUCCUAGAUUGCCAUACUAAUAGUCCAUAAUCUAUCAUAUUAUAUUAAUGCGCACUUGUGGGAAUGAUUUAAGCAUCAAAGCAGAUGAGUCUUCCUCUAUAAUUCUAACCGAAGUGUUCAUAGGAAAAACGAGAUUUGAGUUGCUAAGGUGCUUGGAUCGGUCUAAGGCUUGUAAUUAGGCUAAGGCUAAGGCUGGGCCAAGUGGACAGAGCUUGGAGAUGCAGUCCUAUGAUGAAUUGUCAAUUCCAAUGGAUAGUCCGGUCAUGACAUUCAAUUACUCUUCUUAAAGACCCAUGGCUAACCAUUCUUCCUAGAGCUACAUGGCCUACUUGCAUUUACGUGGACAAAAUAUGUGAUGAUAUACAACUUGGUGAUUUCAUAACUACUAAUAGAAUAUGGGAUCUGAAAAGGUUGGCAAAGUUAUCUUCAGUUGAGAUGAUGAACCAGAUUGCAUGCAUUCUCAUUGCUUGAGGACUCUGGUUUGAUCGGCUUUUUUGGGGUUAAACCAAGCCGAGUCAAGUUGCCCUAUAAGACAUAUAUCCCCAGGUCCAAAUCUAAGUUGCAACUGGGUUUGGAAGCUGAAAGCUCCUGCAAGAGUCAAAACAUUUUUGGUGGACACUUUUAUGGAACAGGUUACAAUGUAAAGUGAUGUUGACUAGAAGAGGGAUGAUCCCCCUUGCUGAACGAUUUUGUGAUCUAUGUCAGUUGGUUGAGGAGGAUUACCACCAUGUUGCCAUUGCUUGUUCUUUUGCUGAAGUGUGUUGGCAGCAGCUUAAUUAGAUGUUUACGUGGGAUAGAUUUUCAUCCUAAUUCUUUGCCGGCCCUUACAGACUUUAUGUCAAAGGCUAAGGCAGAGGAGUGUUCGCAUAUGAACCAUGGUUGUUGGAGAAUUGUAAGAAUCCGUGUGGGCUUGUGUUUAGUCCCAUAUCGGUUAUUUACCAGUAGAUCUUGGGUACUUAUACAAGAUCAAAGAAUCCAAAAAAUACCUUCUUGCUAGCCUUUUUGGGUGACGUCCUUGGUUGUUAUCUUUAAGCAUUCUGUUAAGGUACUAGAGCAGUGAUCAGUGGCAUGUAUUAAAAAUAGUACUAAUGCAGCAGUGGUGUUGUGGCUCCCCCCUCCCUUAGGAGUGAUAAAGGUUUAACUUUGAUGCAUUAGUUACUAUGGAUAAGGCCACCGCUGGAUUUGUAAUUCGAGACCAUUAUGGAAAGGAGAUAAGAGCUGGUGAUAUAUCAUGCUGCUUCUAGUAGGUUGUUACAACUGUGCCAUUGGAAUUUUUG